UGAGGAAUAUUGCACAAUGGGGGAAACCCUGAUGCAGCGACGCCGCGUGAGUGAAGAAGUAUUUCGGUAUGUAAAGCUCUAUCAGCAGGGAAGAAAAUGACGGUACCUGACUAAGAAGCCCCGGCUAACUACGUGCCAGCAGCCGCGGUAAUACGUAGGGGGCAAGCGUUAUCCGGAAUUACUGGGUGUAAAGGGUGCGUAGGUGGUGCGGCAAGUCAGAAGUGAAAGCCCGGGGCUCAACCGUCCGGACUUGCAUUUGAACUGUCGGACUGGAGUGCAGGAGAGGUAAGCGGAAUUCCUAGUGUAGCGGUGAAAUGCGUAGAUAUUAGGAGGAACACCAGUGGCGAAGGCGGCUUACUGGACUGUAACUGACGUUGAGGCUCGAAAGCGUGGGGAGCAAACAGGAUUAGAUACCC
rnacentral:rRNA from 1 species